GAUGAACGCUAGCGGCAGGCCUAACACAUGCAAGUCGAGGGGUAGAGGAAGCUUGCUUCCUUGAGACCGGCGCACGGGUGCGUAACGCGUAUGCAAUCUGCCUUGUACUGAGGGAUAGCCCAGAGAAAUUUGGAUUAAUACCUCAUAGCAUUAUGAAGUCGCAUGGUUUUAUAAUUAAAGUUCCAACGGUACAGGAUGAGCAUGCGUCCCAUUAGUUAGUUGGUAAGGUAACGGCUUACCAAGACGAUGAUGGGUAGGGGUCCUGAGAGGGAGAUCCCCCACACUGGUACUGAGACACGGACCAGACUCCUACGGGAGGCAGCAGUGAGGAAUAUUGGUCAAUGGACGCAAGUCUGAACCGGCCAUGCCGCGUGCAGGAUGAAGCAUCUAUGGUGUGUAAACUGCUUUUGUACGGGAAGAAACACUCCUACGUGUAGGAGCUUGACGGUACCGUAAGAAUAAGGAUCGGCUAACUCCGUGCCAGCAGCCGCAGUAAAAC
rnacentral:rRNA from 1 species